rnacentral:lncRNA from 1 species
AGCUCUUUGUCAACUCCUCAAAUGAACAACAUUUCUCUAACUUCACCAGUACUGUAAAACUAAAGAAUCCAUCCGUUACUACUAUUUUGUCCAUUUGGGUUAGAAGAACUGAGUCUACCACCUUUUCUUUGAUGGUUAAUGAAACUUCUCGUCGAAAAUCUUUCAUUGAGUCUUCAAUCAAAACAGCCAGGCUUUAUGGUUUUCAUGGUUUAGACCUUUAUGGAGUUGAGCCUAGGAAUGGCAUCAAUAUGAGCAGUUUUGGUACUUUCUUGGCCGAGUGGCGAGCUGAGGUAGCAUCCGAGUCAAGAAACUCCGGUAAGACACAGUUGCUAUUAACUAUGUCGGCUAAUCGCUUGCCGAUUGUCAACUCAGUGAGUUAUCCUAUUGAGUCUACAAAGCUAAACCUGGAUUGGGUGCAUAUUAGAGCAUAUGACUACUAUGUGCCAACAUUAGAUAGGUUUACUGGUUUUCAUGCUGCUUUAUAUGACCCAUUAGGAAGGGCCAACACUGAUGAUGGUAUAAAGGAAUGGUUAAAGAGAGAAUUCCCUGCUGAUAAGCUAGUUUUAGGUUUGCCUUACCAUGGCUAUGGAUGGAUGCUUGUUAACUCUGGUGACAGUGGCAUUGAUUCAGCAGCUUCAGGGCGGGCUGUCACCAUUGAUGGUUCAAUGGGGUAUAAGUCAAUCAAAUCAUUCAUUCUAAAUUAUGGUUAUGGCGUUGAAGCUGUGUAUAAUUCUACUUAUGUGGUGAAUAUUUUCAAAAUCGGGUCGAAUUGGAUCAAUUUCGAUGAUGUGGAAGCCAUUAAAGCUAAGGUUUCUUAUGCCAAGGUAAAGGGUCUACUUGGUUACAGUGCCUUUCAACUUUCCAAUGACGAUAAUUGGGUGCUUUCACAAGCUGGUAAUAUGGUUCUCUCCCUUUAGAACAUAUCAAAAUUUUCAGAAAAUACUGAAUUUUUAAACAUUGACUUGGAAAAAGACUUCAACUAGCAUUAUUUCUUGCCUCUAUUUGGUAUAUUUGACUUGGAAAAAUACAUUACCUGUCAUUUCUUUUUGUCUCUUUUACGGCAUUUCAGUUGGACAAUAUGCCACAUAGGUGUCUUGUCAUUAUUAUGCCAUGUUUGCAUGCUAAAAUAUUAAAGAACAGAGCUUAAGUUUGCUAAAAUUCUGAAAUCUUUACAGAACAUUGAACUGUAAUUAAUGUAAUGAAUAAUGUAUCGUUGUUCCGCAGCUUGUGGAAUAGGCACCAGUCAGCCAAAGAAACAUCGAUUAUUGGUUAUUGUUUCGGUUACAGUUGCUGCAAUGGUUUUCCUAAUGAUAGCUAUCAUCUGUUACCUGCAAAAGAAAAUAUUCAAAUCACAAGGUAAGAAUGGACAUGUGAGAAUCUGCAAUGAUUCCAAACAGUUAUCGAACAUUGACUCGAGAAGGUUUCAACUGCAGGGCUUUGGUGUGCAUUGAAAAUGUUGGUUUCUUGGAUAAGAACCAAAACAUCAGCUGAAAAAAGGCAUGAAAACGAUGAUCCUAAUCUCCAAGUUUUCAGUUUCUCUAGCAUUAAAGCUGCCACCAAUAACUUUUCAAAUGAUCAUAAGCUCGGAGAAGGUGGAUAUGGACCUGUUUACAAGGUAAUGUACUAUUACUUUAUUAGCCACUUUCGGGGACUUUGCGGUAAUGUAUAAUGUGUUUGAAGAACCACACGUUUGCCGCUUACCUGCAGGAGGUUCUGAAAUUCCAAGUACAUUCAAAGGAUUAAUCUUUUAUCGUACCUUUUUUUGGUUUUUAAAACUACUAACUGAAUUGUGGAUUGUGGACUAUAACAGGGAAAGUUACCAAACGGGCAGGAAAUAGCGGUGAAGAGGCUCUCGAAAAGCUCGAAUCAAGGGUUCGAGGAGUUCAUGAAUGAGGUCACUCUUACAGCUAGGCUUCAACAUGUGAAUCUAGUUCGAGUUCUGGGAAUUUGUACUGAGAAGGAAGAAAAAUUGCUGGUUUACGAGUUCAUGCCAAACAGAAGCUUGGAUUUCUACCUCUAUGGUAAACAAUGCUUAAUUUUUUCAACUAGUAUUGAGUGUUAAGACAUUUUUAUGGCAUGUUAUUUCAUAAACUUCUUCAGCAAAACACAUUGUUCAUGCACUUAACCGAUGCAGAUCCAUUUAAAAGGCAUCUGUUAGAUUGGAGAAGACGAGUCUCGAUAAUCGAAGGCAUUACACAAGGGCUUCUAUAUCUCCAAGAAUACUCAAAUUACACUAUAAUUCAUCGUGACAUAAAGGCGAGCAAUAUCUUAUUAGAUUAUGAAAUGAACCCAAAGAUAUCAGAUUUCGGGAUGGCUAAAUUUUUCAAGAAGGAUGAACUUGAAGCAAACACCGGCAGAAUUGUUGGGACAUAGUAAGUGAAUCAGACGGUCUCAAAUGAUACAUAUCCGAUUGUUUUCCAUCUUUUCCAUUGAAUCUAUACAUAGUUAUUAAUUCAUUGAUUCAAUGCAGUGGCUAUGUUCCUCCGGAAUACGUUAGGAAAGGAAUAUACUCAACCAAGUAUGACGUUUAUAGUUUCGGAGUUCUACUUUUGCAAAUUAUCAGUGGCAAGAGGAAUUCCAGUCUGUAUGGAUGCCAUGAAAACUUGAAUCUUCUAGAAUAUGUAAGUAACUUUGAGACACUUUUUUUUUCAUCUCCAUUUGGCACACUUUUUCUUCAUCUCCAUUUUGCAGUACGAAUAUUGUAAAAUGUAUAAUGUUGAAUGAUAAUAUCCAGGCAUACGAAUUGUGGAAACAAGGUCGAGAGGCAGAGUUUUUCGAUGCAUCACUGGAUGAUUCAUCUUCGUCAUGUAAGCUCAUUAGAUGUAUGCAAUUGGCACUGCUAUGUGUGCAGGAAAAUCCUACAGAUAGGCCGUCAAUGGUGAAAGUUUUUACUAUUCUCAAGAACGAAAACAGUGCUGCAAUCUCUGUACCUAAGCAGCCUGCAUAUUCAAUAACAAGAUACGAAAGGAAGGAAAGUAUAGACAUUGGGAGGAAGAAAGUUUUUUCUGUUAACGAUGCAUCGAUAACCCAAGUGGAACCUCGAUGACUGACAGCUUAUGCAUUUGGGAAACAUUUAUGUAAAAGGAUCUAUUGAAGCAAUGGUUAGCAUGUAGCAAUCACAUGUUUUAUUAUUAUUAUUAUUAUUAUUAUUAUUAUUAUUAUUAUUAUUAUUAUUUGGAUGUAAUGAUGUAACUUAGUUGUAUUCCAACUAAGUUUGUUAGUGGUAGUAAGUGGUGAUUUAUUUUAAGUGGAUGUAAUGAUGAAACUUAGUUGUAUUCCAACUAAGUUUGUUAGUGGUAGUAAGUGGUGAUUUAUUUUAAGUGGAUGUAAUGUUGAAAUUUAGUUGUAUUCCAACUAAGUUGUCAAGUUGUAAGCUUGUAUAAAUAGGCUUUAUGCCAUUUUAAAAAAAUAUGAAUUAAUUCAAUCAAGAUUUCAUCCAUAUACUCUCUAUUUUAGCUUUGCUUAAAAUUUAUUUCAUUUUUCUUCUUUGUUUCUACCGCAAGUCUCGAUUCUUGCUCGGCAAGCUUUUUGUUGAACCUUGCUAUUUGUUGUACUUAGCUCCAACAAUUGGUAUCAGAGCCUACUUCUUAAGGGAUCUGUUAUACAAAUUCAUGGCUUCAUCAAGCUUUUCACCAGCUGCACCUCAAGUCUUCAAUGGAGAAGGCUACCACAUAUGGGUGGUUAAAAUGAAGACCUACCUACAAGCUUUCGAUCUGUGGGAGGUAGUCAACUCAGAUGUUGAACCAGAGCCACUUAGAGGCAAUCCAACAGUAGCUCAAAUUAGGCAACAUGCUGAUGAGAGGACCAAGAGGCACAAAGCCAUGUCUUGCAUCCAGAACUCAGUGUCAGAUGUGAUUUUCACAAGGAUUAUGGCCUGUGAAUCACCAAAACAAGCCUGGGACAAGUUGCAAGAGGAGUUUCAAGGGACAGAGAGGACAAGGCAGCAACAGUUGCUGAACUUAAGGAGAGAUUUCGAGAAUUUGAAGAUGAAGGAAGAAGAAACUAUCAAGCAGUACUCUGACAGGAUUAUGGCUGUGGUUAACAGCAUUAGGCUCCUUGGAGAGCAGCUUAAGGAAGCUAGGAUAGUGGAGAAGGUUAUUGCAACUCUGCCCGAGAGGUAUGAGGCAAAAAUCUCAUCUCUCGAGGACUCAAGGGACCUGUACACCAUCUCCCUGACAGAGUUGAUCAAUGUUUUAUAUGCUCAAGAGCAAAGAAGAGCAAGCAGACUGGAGGAGCAUCAAGAAGGUGCCUUUCAGGCAAGAACAAACACUGCCUACAAAGGCAAGAAGGCCUGAAGAGACAAGCCAAUGACUGAUGUUGCAAGAAAAGAGGGUCAGACUUGCAAGCACUGCAGAAGGGCUGGUCAUCCAAAAGAAAAAUGCUGGUUCAAUCCAGAUGCUGUAUGUCAGCAUUGUAAAAAGAAGGGUCAUGUUGAGAGAGUCUGCAAGAGCAAGGCCAAAUCAAGGCAGAGUCUGUUUCAACAGAUGAAAGCUGAGGCUCGACUAGCUAAGGAGGACAGUGACCAAGAGGAGCAAGUCUUUGCUGUGUUAUGCUCAGCUGCUCAAGAAAGGUUCUCAUCUGGUUGGCUUCUAGACAGUGGAUGCACCAACCACAUGACACCUGAUGCUGCAAUCUUCAAGUCUUUAGACAGAAGCUGCAGAACUAAAGUCAAGAUAGGAAAUGGACAUUUUAUUCAAGCUGAAGGCAAGGGUGAUGUGCUGAUAUGCACCCCCACAGGUGCCAAAGUGAUUUCAAAUGUGCUUUUGGUGCCUGAAAUUGACAGAAACCUGCUCAGCAUAGCUCAGUUGCUGGAGAAAGGUUAUUCUGUUGUGUUCAAAGACAACCAAUGCCAAAUCAAUGAUCCAAGUGGAUCCAAGCUGAUGGCAGUUCCUAUGGCUAAUAAGAGCUUUGUAGUUGACUGGACCAGGGAGUCAAACAUUGCCUACACAGUCACAUCAGAUGAAUCCAAGCUUUGGCAUCAAAGACUGGGACAUGCCAACUUCAGAUCGAUGGCUCGAAUGGUCAGAGAGGACUUGGCUGAAAACUUCAUCAACUCAGUAGAUCAUGAUGAUGUGUGUGAAGUGUGUCAGCUAGGAAAGCAGGCCAGACUCCCAUUUCCCUCGAAUCAAGCCUGGAGAGCCUCUGAAAAACUCCAACUGGUGCACACUGAUGUGUGUGGCCCUAUGAGGACUGAGUCAUUAAGUGGAAACAGGUACUUCAUACUGUUCACUGAUGAUUUUUCAAGAUAUUGCUGGCUUUACUUCCUAAAACAGAAAUCAGAGGCGGCCUCAGUGUUUUGGAAGUUCAAGACUACUGCUGAGACUGAAACAGGUUGCAAGCUGAAGUCCAUAAGGUCUGAUAAUGGGACUGAGUACACCUCAGCUCAGUUCCAAGCCUUCUGUGAUAAGGCAGGCAUCAAACAUCAACUUACCAACACAUAUACACCUCAGCAAAAUGGUGUAAGUGAAAGGAAGAAUAAGAGUUUGAUGGAUAUGGCCAGGUGCUUGAUGAUUCAGAAGAAUCUGCCUAAAGCACUAUGGGCAGAGGCAGUUAACACUGCAAACUACAUUCAAAAUAGGCUUCCAACCAAGGCCUUGGAUCAGAAGACUCCAUUCGAAGCCUGGUUUGGAUUCAAGCCAUCACUGGCUCAUCUGAAGGUCUUUGGAUGCAUCUGUUAUGCUCAUGUACCUGCUGUCAAAAGGGACAAAUUGUCUGAAAGGGCUCGACCUGGUAUUUUGGUGGGCUACAGCACUGUUAAGAAGGGCUAUAGGAUCUUGGAUCCUUCAACAAAGAAAGUGUCAGUCAGUAGGGAUGUGGUAUUUGAUGAAAAGUCAUGUUGGAACUGGGAAAAACAUGAACCUGAGGAAGUUUCAGAAGGACUUGCAGCAGAUCAAGUUGAGCCAGAUCAAAAUGUUCCUGAAAUGGACAUUGAUGAUGAACCAGUUAGAGGAACAAGACCAUUGACUGAGAUUUAUGAAAGAGCUCAUGUAGCCAUAGCUGAACCAAGCAAUUUUGAAGAGGCUGAAACUCAGCAAGAGUGGAAGCAGGCAAUGGCUGAGGAGAUUAGCAUGAUUGAGAAGAACCAGACCUGGGAAUUAGUUGAAAGGCCAGUCAAAAGGAAGAUAAUUGGGGUGAAAUGGGUGUACAAAGCCAAGCAAAAUGCUGAUGGUACCUUGAACAAACUGAAAGCAAGGCUAGUUGUCAAGGGGUUCAGUCAGAGGUAUGGCCUGGACUACCUGGAGACCUUUGCACCAGUGGCCAGGCUAGACACCAUCAGAUUACUGAUUGCCUUAGCAGCACAGCUCGAGUGGAAGAUCCAUCAACUCGAUGUAAAAUCAGCCUUUCUGAAUGGUUUCUUAGAUGAAGAGAUCUAUGUUGAACAACCACAAGGGUUUGAGAUAGCUGGCAGAGAGCAUAUGUCUACAAACUGAAGAAGGCCCUAUAUGGCUUAAAACAGGCUCCAAUGGCCUGGUACAGCAGAAUCGAUGGCUACUUGACUAAUUUGGGAUUCGAUCGAAGCAAGAGUGAGCCAACACUGUAUGUCAAGAAGCAAGGGACACAAACACAGCUCAUUGUAUCCCUAUAUGUUGAUGACCUGCUGGUGACAGGAGGAGAUCGAGCAGUGCUGGUCGAUUUCAAGACCAAGAUGCAAGAAGUAUUUGAAAUGUCUGAUCUAGGGGAAAUGUCUUAUUUCCUUGGAAUAGAGGUGACUCAAGCACAAAAUGGGAUAUUUCUAAGUCAGAGAAACUUUGCCACAAAGAUUCUGACCAAGUUCUCCAUGCAAAACAGUAAAGCAACUAAAACACCUGUUGCUGUUGGAGAAAAACUAUCGAGCCAAGGUGAUUUUGAGAAGGUUUGUGAAACAACCUACAGAAGUCUAGUUGGUUGUCUGUUAUAUUUAACUGCCACUAGACCAGACAUAAUGUAUGCUGUAGGAUUGCUCUCAAGGUUCUUGCAUUGUUGCAAUAAAAAGCAUUUACAAGCUGCUAAGAGAGUGCUUAGAUAUGUCAAAGGCACUUUGAGCUAUGGUUUAAGGUACAGCAAGGAAGGAAAUCUGAAGCUGGUUGGCUACACUGAUAGUGACUGGGCUGGCUCGAUAGAUGACAUGAAAAGCACCUCAGGGUAUGCUUUCAACCUUGGUUCAGCCAUGUUUUGCUGGAGCUCGAAGAAGCAAAGUCUGGUGGCUCAAUCUACUGCUGAAGCAGAAUAUGUGGCAGCUGCAAGUGCUGUCAACCAAGCCAUUUGGCUAAGGAAAAUCUUAGCUGAUUUGAAAGUGCAUCAAAAGGAAGCUACUGAGAUCUUCUGUGACAACCAAUCUUCAGUUGCAAUUGCUAAAAAUCCAGUGUUCCAUGGAAGAACAAAGCAUUUCAGCAUCAAGUUGCAUGUUGUUCGAGAAAUGGAGCAAGCUCAGGAAGUGAAGCUGAUCCAUUGUAAUUUUGAGGAUCAACUUGCAGACAUUUUGACUAAAGCCCUUAAUUUCACAAGGUUCAAAUGUCUAAGAAGGAAGCUAGGUGUUUGCUCCAUGCAAACCAAGGAGGAGUAUUGAAGCAAUGGUUAGCAUGUAGCAAUCACAUGUUUUAUUAUUAUUAUUAUUAUUAUUAUUAUUAUUAUUAUUUGGAUGUAAUGAUGUAACUUAGUUGUAUUCCAACUAAGUUUGUUAGUGGUAGUAAGUGGUGAUUUAUUUUAAGUGGAUGUAAUGAUGAAACUUAGUUGUAUUCCAACUUAAAUUGUCAAGUUGUAAGCUUGUAUAAAUAGGCUUUAUGCCAUUUUAAAAAAAUAUGAAUGAAUUCAAUCAAGAUUUCAUCCAUAUACUCUCUAUUUUAGCUUUGCUUAAAAUUUAUUUCAUUUUUCUUCUUUGUUUCUGUCGCAAGUCUCGAUUCUUGCUCGGCAAGCUUUUUGUUGAACCUUGCUAUUUGUUGCACUUAGCUCCAACAGGAUCAUGUUUUUUUUUUUUACCAACCUUUGGUCAUGCAAAUAUAGAUAUUAAAGAUUGGAGCAAGUUGUUGAAUCUAUAGGUUUAAUGGUGAUUGAUUUUCAAGCCAAAAAGAACAGGAAAAGAGGAAAAUUUUCAUUACAAGCUGAAGUUGGAACAAAUAACUAACCUUAUAUUGAGUCUGGGUUUUCCUUUUUUGCGUAUGAAAGCUGCAUGUCCCUUCAAAACUUCAACUUUGUUACACCUCAGGAUAUUUUCCUCUUUCCUUACAAUAUUCAAAGAUUUUCAUAUUUUCUUCAACGUCGUAUGUUUUCUGCUAUGCAAUCACCAUGAAAACAGAGAAAUAAGGAACCAAAGCUCUCGACUCCAAGUCCAAACCACACCAUCAGCAAGAAAGAAGGUAUGAACCCCAUACCAACAGGUAGUGAUGUUGGAAUCAGUACCGUAUUAAUCGGUUGAACUAAAAAUUCGUAUUAAUCGGUUCAACUAAAAAUCGGUAAUUAAUUAUUUACUAAUUUGAACUUUGAAGAAAAAUGUAAUAACUCAAUAUCCUUUUAUAUAUAUAUAUAUAAAAGGACUAUGAACAAAUUUGUCAAUUGUCGUUUCAUUGUCUCCUGCGAUAAUUAUAUCAUCCCAAAUGUAACAUCAUUUGAAUUGAACAAACAUCGAUGCAUUUCAUCGAGAUAAUGAAAACAAUGGUAACAUCAUUUGAUAUAUAGCCCUUAAAGAUUGCUUUAACCUGUAAAGUGGCUCAUGAAAUUUACACACAAGGUUUUUACCUCUAAACGUGUUGCUUAUAAAUUGGGGGUUGUUGCAUAUAUACAUUUUCUAUAAUAUCCCCUAUUGACAUCUAUUUUCUAUGGAUGGAUGAAAAUUUAAUUAAAAUUUUCAAAGCAGUCUAUUUUUAUGUCUCAAAACAUACUAACUUUGAAGCUAAAAAUCUCAAAAUAAUUUAUGACUUGUCUCAAGACAUAAAUAUCCUUGUCUCAAGGUAUGAAUUUGAAAUUUGUUGAUAUUUGAGUUUAGAUUCGAAUUCUAACUCUAAUAUUAACCCAUGCAAUUCCGUAAAUUGAUAAAAUGAAAUCAUUGAGUUUAUAAAUAAUAUAUAUGUGAAUUAUAUGAUAAUUAAAUUGAAUGUAUUUAUGCUAUAGUAGCUUGAGUUGUGAUAAGUCAUAAAAGUAACAUAUUUUAAUCCUAUUUUUAAUGCGUUUCUGGAUUAUUAAUGAUGUAAAUUAGUGAAUUUGAUGCUCCUAAUCCUUUAAAUUCAUGUUUCUAUCACUACAUCAAAACAGGCUUUUAGCGACGUUUUUUUAAGCCUUUAGCAGCGCUUUUUAGCGCCGCUAAAAGUAUUUGCGACGCUUUCAGGAGAGCAUUUAGGAGCAAAAGGAGCGAAAAACGAGUCAAAAUGGGACGAAUAAAGUUGUUUUCAGGAUCCACAUGACCUAGGCAUAUCCAUACGGGCUGGCCACACGCCCAUGUGCUAGCCCGUGUUGAUAUCGCACACUGUUUCCCAAACACGCAGAAAAACUCAAUUUUUAGACUUUCUUAGUAUUCUAAAGUCUAUAAAUGUCAAUUAGAAGAAGACUUAAGGGGGCAUUCAGAGAAGAUUGAAGAAAAGACUCGAAAAACGCCAUCGGAUUCAACUCGAAAGCGGAUCUCCUUCAAGAUUGAAGAUCUCCAUUUAAUUUCAUUCGAAGUUUUAUUGAGUUUCUUUAUGUCUUGUUGUUAUCCUAUUUUUGAGAUGUUUUCAUUCCAGAUUAUGAACUAAAUUUCCUAGAUACCUAGGGAAGAUAAAACCUAUGAUGAAUCUUAUUAUUUGAUUUUUGAUUUACAUGGUAAAUAUUUGAUUCUUGUUCUGAAUUAUGUACGCUUAUUUCGUGUUUUAAUAUUUUUAUGAUAUUAAUUCAUGUUUAAUUUAUUUAUUUCAAUGGAGCAAAAAUCCCUGUUUAAGAGUAGAUCUAGCAUAAUUGAGUGGAAUUGCAUGCAAUCCUAGAAAUAGGACGACAUAAAUCUACCGAAUUAGAGUCAAAUCUAAUAGGGGAAUCCAUAGAUCGAGUUAAUGCGACAAUAGGGGCUUUAAUUAGAAAGAGAUUUUAAUUAAUCAACCUAGAGCCAGUUGUUCUUACUCUCGAAAGAGAUAUUAACAUAAUUUAGGGAUUUCUACGGAUUAAGACACAAGUGAAUAAAUUGUUUACAUCGAAUUCAUAAUAAUAGGUGAAGUCUAGGUGGAUCCUUUCUUGGGUAUUAUUUGUCUCAUUAAGUAUCAUCGAUUAUUUUCCUAUUUCAUUCUCUGUUACGUUCAUAGUUAAAUUAGAUUAGUAAAUUUAGAUUAAAAACAAUCACUCCAAUUCAUCGGCUAAAUAAUAGAAAAAGUAAUUACUAGUACUUUUAGUUCUCAUGGAUACGAUAUUCCCUACUCACCAUAGCUAUACUAUUGUUCGAUAGGUGCGCUUGUCUUUGUCAUAAUUAUAGUUAGUUUAGUGACCUUCAAGUAGUUUCGACAACAUAACAUGACAUCACAUGUUCGGAACCGACAAUCAGAUCUAGAGUGUUACAAAUUCCACAUUUACUCACAUUAUAUGUUUUUUGAUAUCUCAAAAAAUGAAUUCUACCGUCACUAAAUGUAUGAAAUUAAUCAUACAACAUCUGAUCAUUUUGACCAUCCGAUCCUUUAUGAAACAAGAGCCAUAAAAAAAUUAUUAAUGAAACAAGAGCCUUAGUCGUAUUUUUAGUUAGUCACGUGAGACACAUCAGCUAUCUUUUGAUGAGUAAAACCAGGAAGGAAAAAAGAAAGGUCUAAGUUGAAGCUAGACAAGACAAGUCUCAAAAGGGGGUUUACAAAAAGAGUAAGGUUAUGACCAAAUUCGCCCUGAUAUGUUCGCCUGUGAUAUGUUUGCUAGUGAUGUGUUCAAGAAGAACAUAUAGGCGUCAACCAUGCCAGUAAAUUUCAUGAGCUUACAUGAAACUCAAGGAGUUAUUUACGUGCAUUACUCCCUAUUACUCGUAAUAUUAAUAAUAUAUUAAUAUGUUAUCAUUUAAUAGUUGAUGUAUGGAAUCUCACUAAGUUCAUUCAAACUUAUGAGUGGCUUGCCUUAAGUGCAGGAUCCAAGGCUGUUAUGAAAAGUGUGGGAAUGGACCAAGGCAGAUUUUGCGGAAUCCUUAUGGGCUUUUUUUGUUCUGGUAUCAUGCAUAUAGAGGGGCUCCAUUAUAGGCUACACCUUGAGGUUGAAUUUGUAAUUAAGUAGAAUCCAAUUUUUCAGAAUAAGUGUAUAAGUAAAUUCAGUGGAUGAGUAUGAUUGUAAAGAACAUUAAUCUCCUUAGUUAGGUAAUCAUAUAAUAACAAGUUUAAUGUGAUGUUCAUUUAUGGAAAGGUUAUGGAUAAUUAAUUGAUUGGAUUAAAGUUGUACGACAACAUAAUAUUAAAUCUGGCAUGAAAUUAAAUAAAUUAAGAAUUUGUUGUUAGAUAAUACGGUUCAAUUAUGACGUUCAACACCCGGACCUGACGAUUGGGUUCGCGAAGUGGCAAGGUGCAAGUUAUAGCUAAAACUUUGGUGCAUGCACAUUUUGUCUAGUUUGCAUGCUAGUCUUUUGUUUAGUUCUUUGUAAUUUCAUUUAGUUAAGAAUGGAUUUGGUUUGCUUUCGUUUUGAUGUGUUUAAGUGCUGAUUGACAUAAUCAAGUUAUGUGCAAGCAAAGUUUUACAAGUUACAAGGUUAUUAGUGGGAGUAGUUAAAGGUUCGAUUGUAUUUGGUAUUGGUUUGACAAUAUAUGUUGUAUUUUUAAAGAAAUGAAAUACAUAUUGUUAUAAUAGGCGCCAACAAUAUAACCAAUGUAAAAUAAUAAGAAAAGAAAAAAUAUAAAUAUAAAUUUUACGUAAAAAUCUUUUGGGGGAAAAAAUCAUGGAUAAAAGAGGAGAAAUUUAUUAAUGUUAAAAAUUAAAUGAUACAAAAUGAGUUUCAACUAUAUUUAUUUAAAUGCUAAAAAACCUUAUUUUAAUCUAUGUAAAAUAAAAAAUUACAAUUUUAUACGGAUUCUUCUUAUACAGCACAUAUAAUUUGAGCAACGUUUGUUUUUGCUCCUUAAAACUAUAGCCCUUGGAUGAUGAAGUUCUGGCUAGGGCUGAUGGGAUCAAUUUGUAUAAAUCAUAUAGUAAUUCAAAAUUAUCAGAAAUGUAAGAAAACGUCAACUCUGAAAUUCAAUUUGUGUAAAUCUUUUCGUCAGUCCAAAACAGUUCGAUGAUGAUGAUAUUCACAUGGCGAAAUAGAAGACAGUGUGAGCACGGAAAGAAAGGCGGUCCCGCUUUAUGUGGUGCUGGCAAUCGAUAGCUUCAUUAGUCAACAGUCAACUCUGAAAUUAGUUAGCCUUGAAAGUGACCCACCUUUACUAUAUACUCGCACACUUUCUAUUUUCAUCCAUAGGGAAGUGCUAUACGAAAUCUUGUUCCAUUAUGAAAGAAACCCAAUGCAUUGGUGAUGGCAGAUGAGAAUUUCAUCUUUUUUUGCUCUUUCUCUCACAACCUACUGUUCAAGUUCAAAAAAAGUGAUGGUCAAGUUUUAUUUCAAAAAUCGAACCCUUUAAUUUGAUUUAAAUUUCCACCAUCUGAAAUGAUCCAGUCCAAUCUCUCUUUGUCUCUUCAAAUCCAACUUUGUUACGGUCAAGGAAGUUUCCUCUUUUGUUUACACAAUUGAAUAGAGUUCCAGUUUUCUCCGAGAACAAAAUAAAUGUUUCCCACUAACAGUAAAAAGAGAUUGAUUUUUCAAUGGCUUCUAAUAAACCCAUUUUUUUCUCCUUCUUCUUCCUCUUGCUGUUUCUCUCAUUGAACCUGCAAAGCUCAGUCUCACAAACAUGGAUCAAAGCUGGUUACUGGGACUCUAGCGCUUCCCUUCCAGUUUCUGAUAUAAACUCUGCUCUUUUCACUCAUCUUUUUUGCGCUUUUGCUUAUGUAAACUCAACCUCCUAUCAGCUCUUUGUCAACUCCUCAAAUGAACAACAUUUCUCUAACUUCACCAGUACUGUAAAACUAAAGAAUCCAUCCGUUACUACUAUUUUGUCCAUUUGGGUUGGAAGAACUGAGUCAGAGUCUACCAACUUUUCUUUGAUGGUUAAUGAAACUUCUCGUCGAAAAGCUUUCAUUGAGUCUUCAAUCAAAACAGCCAGGCUUUAUGGUUUUCAUGGUUUAGACCUUUAUGGAGUUGAGCCUAGGAAUGGCAUCAAUAUGAGCAGUUUUGGUACUUUCUUGGCCGAGUGGCGAGCUGAGGUAGCAUCCGAGUCAAGAAACUCCGGUAAGACACAGUUGCUAUUAACUAUGUCGGCUAAUCGCUUGCCGAU